AACGAACGCUGGCGGCAGGCUUAACACAUGCAAGUCGAACGCAUCCUUCGGGGUGAGUGGCAGACGGGUGAGUAGCGCGUGGGAACGUGCCCUUCAGUUCGGGAUAACCCAGGGAAACUUGGGCUAAUACCGGAUACGUGCGAGAGCAGAAAGAUUUAUCGCUGAAGGAUCGGCCCGCGUCUGAUUAGCUAGUUGGUGGGGUAAUGGCCCACCAAGGCGACGAUCAGUAGCUGGUCUGAGAGGAUGAUCAGCCACAUUGGGACUGAGACACGGCCCAAACUCGUACGGGAGGCAGCAGUGGGGAAUAUUGGACAAUGGGCGCAAGCCUGAUCCAGCCAUGCCGCGUGAGUGAUGAAGGCCUUAGGGUUGUAAAGCUCUUUCGUCCGGGACGAUAAUGACGGUACCGGAAGAAGAAGCCCCGGCUAACUUCGUGCCAGCCGCCGCAGUAA
rnacentral:rRNA from 1 species